rnacentral:pre_miRNA from 1 species
AGUGGUAUAGAUGGGUUAAGUGGUGAUUCCAUUUUCUAUGGCAUUUAUAUACUGCUUUCCAGAUUGGUUGCACCAAUUUGCAGUCCCACCAGCAAU